rnacentral:sRNA from 1 species
UUCUAGCCCCGAUUGUAGCAAUUGUUUGAGCUCCUUUUUGUUUUUUUCUUUUUAAAAAAAAUAAAAAGAGCGAGUGCGGAAAGCGGGAAAUAGC